rnacentral:misc_RNA from 1 species
UAUUACUCUUAUUUCGUUCGAUUGUUCCCGGGCUUUUCCACGCCCUUCUGUUUCCGGACUUUGAUGCUUUCUGUUGCGGAUUUCCAGAUUUUCUUUCCCUAACUACUUUUUUCGGAUAAUUCGGCGAUGUGCGGAUCAAUCUUCGAUCGAUUCUUGGAUUUGGAUUCUGGAUUAGAGAUUCUGUCUGGGAUUUUCAGCUAUGUUUGAUUGGAA